rnacentral:rRNA from 1 species
GUAAGGAAUAUUGGUCAAUGGGGGCAACCCUGAACCAGCCAUGCCGCGUGAAGGAUGAAGGCGUUAUGCGUUGUAAACUUCUUUUGUAUGGGAAGAAUGACAGGGAUUUAUCCUUGGAGAGACGGUACCAUACGAAUAAGCACCGGCUAACUUCGUGCCAGCAGCCGCGGUAAUACGAAGGGUGCAAGCGUUGUUCGGAAUCAUUGGGCGUAAAGCGCGCGCAGGCGGGUCAGUAAGUCAGGUGUGAAAUCUCGGAGCUCAACUCCGAAACUGCACCUGAAACUAUUGGUCUAGAGUAUCGGAGGGGACAGGGGAAUUUCACGUGUAGGGGUAAAAUCCGUAGAGAUGUGAAGGAACACCGGAGGCGAAGGCGCCUGUCUGGACGAUUACUGACGCUGAGGCGCGAAAGCGUGGGGAGCAAACAGGAUUAGAUACCCUUGUAGUCC